rnacentral:rRNA from 1 species
CCCUUAGAUGCUCUGGGCCGCACGCGCGUUACACUGGUCGAUGCAACGAGUUUCUUUCCUUGGCCGACAGGCCUGGGCAAUCUUUGAACAUCGAUCGUGAUCGGGAUAGAUUCUUGUAAUUUUUGAUCUUAAACGAGGAAUUCCUAGUAAACGCAAGUCAUCAGCUUGCAUUGAUUACGUCCCUGCCCUUUGUACACACCGCCCGUCGCACCUACCGAUUGAAUGGUCCGGUGAAAUCUCCGGACUGGCGUGAGUCGGAGCAAUCUGACAAACACCGGAAAGUUGAUUAAACCUUACCAUUUAGAGGAAGGUGAAGUCGUAACA